UUACCGCCUUGACAUUGGAGAGAUUAGUUAGCUAACAGGUGCUGCAUGGCUGUCGUCAGCUCGUGUCGUGAGAUGUUGGGUUAAGUCCCGCAACGAGCGCGACCCCGCCUUAGUUGCCAUCAUAUGGGACUCUAGGGGACUGCCGGUGAUAACCGGAGGAAGGUGGGGAUGACGUCAAGUCCUCAUGGCCCUUACGGCGGGCUACACACGUGCUACAAUGGGUGACAAGGGGCAUCGCAAGGGCAGCAAUCCCUAAAGCGUCUCAGUUCGGAUUGUUCUCUGCAACUCGAGAGCAUGAAGUUGGAAUCGCUAGUAAUCGUGAUCAGCAUGCACGGUGAAUACGUUCCCGGGCCUUGUACACACCGCCCGUCACACCAUGGGAGUUGGUUACCGAA
rnacentral:rRNA from 1 species